GGCUGUGGUUGGGUUAAUAUGAGCUGAGCUGGCUCACGUAUCGUCUCCAUCUUCAUCAUCAGCCACAGAGGCAGGUGGGGUCAGUCCCGUGCCAAGGCUGAGCCGCAGGGCAGGAGGCUGGAGCCCUCGUGGGGGGGAGGAAGUAGAGGGGCUAAUCUGCCUCCCUAGGCAGGGUUGGGGAUUGGGCUCAUUCCAGGCAUGGGGGGAGCAGGGCUGGUCAAAUUGCAGUUGUAGCCUGGGAGCCUACCCUGACCUGGGAGUGGGUUGCUGGGGUGGAAUGGGGAGCAGAAAGGGUUAAGUUCAUUUACAACUUGGGAUGCCCUGUAAAGUUGGGGAAAAGAAGGGGGGCUAAUGAGGCUAAGUAGAAAUCUGGGAAUCUGAGAUGGGGUUACAAAGGCCCUGGUUCUGAGACAUGCAGGAUAUUGCCUAUAAUAGAAGUUGAAGUGUGUGGCAUACUGUGCAAUGAAGCUGGAGUUCUUUUAUCAAAGUCAUAUUCCCAGCUCUAAACUCAGGGUGAGGCUACAGAGAGCCUGGCAGUGGCGAUAGAGCACAUGCAGGGGACUGAGUAGCCAUGGACGUUGGCUCAUGCUUUAGAAACUAUGAUGACUUCAAGGAGUGUUUCAACACUUACAAGAAAGAGAACAAGUGCCACUAUGGCUUAAAGAACUGCGUCUCUGUUCGCUUUUACAACCGGAAACAUGGGACCAGCAUCCGUGAGGACAUCACGUUCAUCCAGGUGAAGUUUGGCUGUGUCAGGACACGGGAAUACAGUAAGAAGAGGAAACCACAACCCAGCUUGUGCCCAGCUUUUUUUGUCCUGCAGUAUAACGAGGAAAUAGACCGGCUGGUGAUUACUGAACUGAACAGUAAUCACAUCCAUGUAGACCCGGGCGGAACUUCCUUGGCCCGUACUAGCUCUUCUCUAGUGAUGAGAACCACAACCAAAAUUGCAAGUUGCAUGGCAGAUGGCAGCCCUGCAACAAAACUGCGUAGACAACAAUCAAGAGAGGCAGAAGCCACUGUAACAGUCAGUGAGGAGUGUGUGAUGGCUGACAUGACUUUGAAUGGAUCCUCUGCUCCACUCAGCAAGGUUGCUGUGCAGCCUGAGGCAGUGAAGGAAAGUGUCUCAACUUCGGCUUUAGUCAGAAUUGCAGAGGUCAUGAAAAACUUCCUGAGGGUGGACAUGGGCUCACUGGCCUCUAUUAGUGUGGGCAGCAGCCAGGACCUAGACAGACUGAACUUCCAGACCAGCAAGAUGAGGAGCCUGUUUGUCAAGUUCCCUGAGAGCCUGUUGCUGCAUAGGGUGCAGAGUGAGAGAGGGCAUGUACUUUACGCCUUUCUUGUGGAGAGUAAGGACCGAGUAGGGAAGAUGGUACACUUUGCUGUCCUGAAGGAGGACACUGGUGAGAAUGUAAGCAAAAUGCUGACUGUCUUCAAAGAGUUCAAUCCUGAGUGGCAGAAGGUCAAGGUGGUCUUUGUGGACAUGUCAUUCCUUCACAAAGCCACCAUGCAGGAGCUCUUCCCCUCAACCCAGGUGCUUCUCUCUGUCUACCACACUGUCCGAUUCCUUGAGAAGAAGGUAAAGGAAACAGUGGCCACUGUUUCCUUCAAGCAUAAACUGAAGUUGGCUUUGAGGGAGGUGGUUUUUUCCACCUCCAAUGCAAAUCUAGACAUCUUGUCUCAGCUGGUAAAGCGCUUGGUGGACAAACAGUUGUACGACUAUCUUCAGGCCAACUGGUUCUCCUGUGAGAUGCUGUGGUACAUGCAUGCAAAGAAGGGUCUCCAUUCCUGCAGCACAUAUGUAGACAGUCUGGAUCUCAUCACUCAUAAAAUAUCCAGUCUCUUCAACAAGCAGUUGUCCUUGGAGACCAGUAUCCUUCACUUUGUUGAAUAUGCCGAUUGCUUCAAUACCAAAGGUCUAGAAAACCUGAACCAGGGUUUCUCAAGUGUUGAAGAGGAGAAUCAGAACAAACAUGUGGAAAAGCCUAAGGUGCGUACCCGUGCCUCCAUGAAGCGUACCCCUGUUGCUGCCUCACAACCUCAAAACAAAUGUCCUGAACCGCCCAACCAACUUGCCAGACAGAAACCUGCAAAUCCCCCUGGCACCAUGCUGGCAGCAAUCCGAGAGAGUUGCACAGACCUAGGCUACCAGCUGUGUCUGAAUGAGUGGGAGGUGGUGCAGAAGUCAACUCAGCUCAUUAAUGUCAUGAAAGACCAUAUUGUGGUUCAGCUACUAGAAGACACACACCAGGUCAGCAAAGACUGCAAGAGCUGCAGCUGUUACUUCCACUGCCGGUACCAGCUCCCCUGCAGGCACAUCUUGUCUGUGCUGCAUGCCAACAAGAAGGCUGUGGAGGAAGCUAUGGUAUGCAAGCGUUGGCAGAAGAAGUACCGGCACCUUUCAGUCUUGGGAGAUAACCUCCUAGACGAUAUUGGGCCCUCAAUGGGUAACCAACCAGCAGCAGCGGAAGAAAGAUAUGACAAAAUCCAGUCCCUCAGCAAGGAGCUUGCUAAUCUCCUGAUGCAGUGCGAUGGGGAAGAGCUAGAGGAGCGCAGCUCCACGCUCAAAAUGAUUGUGGAUAUCUGGGCUAAAUCCUCAGAGCCAGUGGAAGAGGCUGGGAAAUGCCCUAACUUCAGAAAUGUGGGGGACUUGCCAUUUCUUUGGGUAAAGCAGGAGGAAAUAGAAACAGAGGAUGCAGGUGCAACCUCUGAGAGAUCACUGACCGGGUACUAACAUGUUCCUGAUUUGAAAUGCCAGACGUUCUGUAUUCAAAUUUGGAGAUUCAACAAGCUGUUAGUGGGAGCUGAUGGUUUAAUUCUCCCCCAGCCUAUUAUGGUUCUCUCCCCAUUCCCAGUCCCAGGAGACUCAGGGUUAACUGUUAACUUCAAAGACUGUUGAAGAUCUGGGCAGAGAGAUGCAAGUCCAGCUGCCUUCCUCCCUACAUCCUCUGUUGUGCACUAUUUAAGGGCUGUGUGCUGCUCUCCUCUAAGUAGCAGCUGGAAGAAAGUGCAAUAAUGCAUUUAUGGUUUGUAUGUUUCUGUUUUGUGCUGAAACCACUGCUAGCAGUGGUCAGUUUGCUGCUGUGUAUUUAGACCAAAUUAAUUGUUAAAAUAUGGUUCUGACUUUAUUGUCAUUAAAUUUGCUAUCCAUUU